rnacentral:rRNA from 1 species
UGGGGAAUAUUGGACAAUGGGCGAAAGCCUGAUCCAGCCAUGCCGCGUGUGUGAAGAAGGUCUUCGGAUUGUAAAGCACUUUAAGUUGGGAGGAAGGGCAGUAAGCGAAUACCUUGCUGUUUUGACGUUACCGACAGAAUAAGCACCGGCUAACUCUGUGCCAGCAGCCGCGGUAAUACAGAGGGUGCAAGCGUUAAUCGGAAUUACUGGGCGUAAAGCGCGCGUAGGUGGUUCGUUAAGUUGAAUGUGAAAGCCCCGGGCUCAACCUGGGAACUGCAUCCAAAACUGGCGAGCUAGAGUAGGGCAGAGGGUGGUGGAAUUUCCUGUGUAGCGGUGAAGUGCGUAGAUAUAGGAAGGAACACAAGUGGCGAAGGCGACCACCUGGGCUCAUACUGACACUGAGGUGCGAAAGCGUGGGGAGCAAACAGA